CGUUGAAACACCGUUUUUCGUACGAUCACCGAAGUUAAGCAACGUCGAGCCUGGUCAGUACAUAGCUGGAUGACUGCUUGGGAAUACAA